UGAAAACACUAGUUCUCAUUUGAUCACUGGAGUUAAGCAAUGUUGAGUCUGGUCAGUAAUUAGAUGAGGAACUGCUUGGGAACAACAGGUACUGUA